AGGCUGAAACUCGCCUACAUGAAGCUGGAGUUACUAGUAAUCGCAGAUCAGAAUGCUGCGGUGAAUGCGUUCCCGGGUCUUGUACACACCGCCCGUCACACCACGGAAGUUGGGGGCGCCCGAAGCCACUUAGCUAACCCUUUGGGAAGCGAGUGUCGAAGGUGAAAUCAAUAACUGGGGUGAAGUCGUAACAAGGUACC
rnacentral:rRNA from 1 species